AAUUCUGUUGAGCUCAGACUCAUUAUUUCUAUUCCGCUGCACUGUUUGAAUGUUAAGUUAUCAGGGUUGUGAAACUAAACCUCUUUAGAUCCUUGGGGAUUUCCUCCAUAUGAUGAACUCGUUCUAUGUCAUCAUUAACCAUCUUUAUAAUAAGCCAUUUUAUUUAUCGUAUUUUAUUUCCUCUCAAGCCUGGGCUGUCACAAGUGGUAUCAGAGCCUAGGUUUUCUUUUGCAUCUCUGAUAGCCACAAAUUCUUUAAGACCGAGUCUAGAAUUAUUUUCCUAGACUCCUAUACAUCGCCAACACUCCCAGCUCUCCGUCACACCACCGCCUCAAGGUACGUUUCAUUUAGUAAAUUCAAGAUGUUUGCAAAUUUUCAAAAGUAUUUUUGAAAUUUAUUCAAAUGAAAACGAGGCGCCCUACAAAGAAAAUUUAUUUUGGGACAGACCGAGCCCUUGACGGAUCAGUAGAAAACAGUUGUCGAGAAGGGUUUUCCCGAAUCCCCUUGACCUAACAAGAACGAUUACAUGUUGUGGUCUUAAGUGCCACUACCAAUAAGGAAUGUUUCAAAAGAGUUACAAACCAAUAACCCCACAGAUUGUUGUAAUAACAUAGAAAGCCAGGAGUAUCUAUGAGAUAGAAAUAAGACCACUGAAUUAGGACUUACAAAACUUGAGAAUCACAUAGGACGUUCGAAUGUAGAGUAUGGACCUUAGGCAUUGCUUAAGCCUCUUUUACAUUUUUAUUUAUAGUAUCUGAUAUAGAACUUAAUAUUUUCAGAUGGAACCACCCCAACCACCCCCAAGAUUCCCCGCACUUAGGGAUAUGAUCGAUCAGAUGAGGCACACUUGGGACUUGGAAGAUAGGCUCCGACGGUUUUGGCUGUGUCAAUGGGACCCGGACGAGCCCUUUGGGGCAUUUUUGGGGCGAUUCGUGCACGCUUGGCAGUUUGUGCGGACGAUCGGCGUCACAGACUACGAGGCCGGUCAGCAGCUGAUUCGACAUUUGCCUUUCGGCUGGAGAGACUGGGCGGAUGAGCAGUUGGAUGAUACCUCGACACGACAGCUGUUCACGUCCCGACCCCUCGGGAACUUUGUAUUGUUCAGCUCGCGGAUCUUCAACAGGUGGG
rnacentral:lncRNA from 1 species